CCAUGCUUAGGAGUCCCAUAAUAGGACGAAACGGCCGUCUAGUAC
rfam:Schistosoma rodhaini strain Burundi genome assembly, scaffold: SROB_scaffold0014797